UGGACGCUUAGCGAAGUGGUUAAACGCAACAGGUUGUAACCCUGUUCCAUUUUGGUUCGGUGGUUCGAAUCCAUCAGCGUUCAU
rnacentral:tRNA from 1 species